UACUGAGGUCUCCAGCGUUGUUCGGAUUCAUUGGGCGUAAAGGGGGCGUAGGCGGCGCGGUAAGUCGGGUGUGAAAUCUCGGAGCUUAACUCCGAAACUGCAUUCGAUACUGCCGUGCUUGAGGACUGGAGAGGAGACUGGAAUUUACGGUGUAGCGGUGAAAUGCGUAGAUAUCGUAAGGAAGACCAGUGGCGAAGGCGGGUCUCUGGACAGUUCCUGACGCUGAGGCACGAAGGUCAGGGGAGCAAACGGG
rnacentral:rRNA from 1 species